GUCUACAGCCAUGUUACUCUGAACAAGCCCGAUCCUAUCUGAUCUUGGAAGCUAAGCUGGGUCAGGCCUGGUUAGUACUUGCAUGGGAGAUCACCUAGGAAGACCAGGUGCUGUAGGCG
rfam:Pteropus alecto contig37141, whole genome shotgun sequence.